AGGAAGGAAUGGAACCGGAAAGGGAAGAAUAUAGUAGAAGUCCGGGAGGAGCUGGAGUAGUGCUUGUGAUUACGUCUUAGUAAUAACCGCUUUCGGAUUGUUAAUUCCUCAGACUUUUCAGAUGAAGGUUUACGGUUCCCCUUUGUCUGCAGAGCACGCUUUCGCUCCAUUUUUUUGAAUGACUGCCUUAGCUCCCACAAUGAACUUUAUACUUGUUCCCAAUAAUUCGGAAUUCCAGAAAACUCUACUGUGUAGUAGCGUUAACAGUUGUAAGAUGAAUGAAAAGUAUCCUACAAGAACAGAGCUUAUGGAGCAAUUCUGGGAAACUCAAAUUUUUUUAUUGGACCUGGUCCAGUAAAAACCAAAAUCAUUUUAUUUUUGUUUUGUGGGAGGAUAUUAAAGAGAUAUUUGUGUCCUAUACUUUUUACUGUAAGACAAUCAAAACAAUAAAAUCAAAACAGGAACCGAUUCACCCCCAUCAAGGGACUUCAUGCUGGGAUAAAAGAAAACCUAAAACGUGGGCAAACACUUCCAGAACACCUUACAGGGGAGGCAAUGAGGGGCCAGUGGUGAGCUGGCUGGACCACACUUUGACUUGCUUAGAUUUAUGUUACUCUGGCCCAUUCUUAAACCAUAACUGCACAUCAGAACCUAAAACAUGGCUUUGGUGGAAGGUACUGGGUCUCUUUAUAACUUUUCCCAAAUCUUUUUUUAUUCUUUUCUUUUCCUGCUGUUCUGCACUAUUAAUUUGACUGUUUUAGCUGACUUAGGAAGGACAGGUGACCGAAACUCACUUGUUGAUGCACAAGCUGUGGCCCUGACUCUGAAAACAGGCCUUAUGCUUGAGCAGCAAAUACUUUACCCACCAAGCAAUCUCCCCUGCCCUGAAGGGAAGCUUUAAGGGGACACAAAAAUCUGAUCUCUGGAAGAGCAUGGAAGUACUUCAGCGGACAGGGAGACAGACAUAAAGUAAACAAAUGGAGUCGCUGUUCAGGCUCUACUUAGAGGUCCAGGGGCUCAUUCAAUAUCUCCACUCAAGCUCAAUACAUUUAUUGUUUGUUUUUGUUUUGAGACAGGAUGUCAAAUAUCCUAAGCUGCCUCUACCUCCCAAGGUUUGAGAUUCCAGAUGUGAGCUCUCUGCUGCUUCUCCAGAGUCAUUCAUGCCUGCCUGCUGCCAUGUUCCCUGCCAUGUUGUUCAUGGACUUGCCCUCUGAAACUACAAAUCCAAGACCGUCCAGGCUUUUAUUGCCCAUGGAUUGGAUAUUCAAACAGUAUGCAGAUAACUUCUUUCUUUGCCUGCGUGCAGGUCUUUCCUCAGCACAUGCCUCUGUCUCAGCUGACAUCAUUCUGCCAAUCAGCCUGAGGCCGAGGAAGCAGCAAGAAGCCUAGGCACACCACCAGAAGUUUCUUGGUACAUCUCUCUAUGGAGUCCCAACAAAUGGAUCUCAACUAUGCAGUGUAAGGCGGACCAAUACAUGUGUGCUAUUAGUGAAGAAUCCUUCAUCACAUGUCCUUUUAUGUGCUUGUUUUAGCAGAACAUUCUUUUUCCUGUAUAUGCUUCAAUGAAAUGUUUCUUCACGUGUUUGCCCUAGCAAAACACCAUCCAACAUAACUGACUUUCCAAAGAACCUGGUUUCCACUUCACAAGAGCUACAUAAUAGAGAGACCCUGUCUCAAAAAAAAAAAAAAUGAAAAAAAAACUUUUAAAAAAAGAGGAAGGAAGGAGGGAGAGAGGGAUGUAGGAAGGGAGGAAAAGAAGGAAGAAAGAACAAAGGAAACCAGUUCUCACUAUUCGAGCAGCUAUGAAACGCCAGCAUCUUCUCAGCUUCCUUCUCAAUGCUGGGAUUUUGUCUAGCCUGAGCAGGUGUUUUGCAUGUUGUCACAAUCCCUGGGAGUUCAUAUUGCAACAACCCUUUUGUGUCUCAAACAGUCUUCCUGAUACCAUCAACCACCUCUGGCUCUUGUAAUCUGGACAGCAAUUUUUGUUUUGUUUUGUUUUUCAAGACAGGGUUUCUUUGUGUAGCCCUGGCUAUCCUGGAACUCACUCUGUAGACCAGGCUGGCCUCGAACUCACAGAGAUCCACCCACCUCUGCCUCCCAAGUGCUGGGAUUAAAGGUGUGCAUCAUCACCUGACUUUGGGUAACAUUCUUUAUCAGAUAAUUUUCCAUAUGUGUGGUUUGCCUUUCAUGUUCUUAACAGAACAUAAUCAAAACAUAAUUUUGGUUGUUUUUAACUUUGAUGAAGUCCAAUUUAUUUUUUGCUACAAUUCUUGCUUUCUAUGUCUGAUUGAAGACUUUGCAUGAUUUAAGUUUAUGAAUUUCUAAAAUUUUUUAGCUUUUACGAUUAGCUGCGUGACCAUUUCAAGUUAAUCCAUGAAUACAUCAUAAGACACACAGUACAGGGGUCUUUUCCUCUCUUGUGGACCAAGAUUUUCUGGCAGCAUUUGUUGAACAGGAUUAUCUUCCCCUACUGACUUGCCUUCAUAUUUGGUUGAAAUCCCUUGGUGUUAGAUGUAUAUUUCCAUUUUGUAACAACCGGCUGAUUUAUAUAUCCACCAUCCUGUAAGAGCCACAGUGUCUUGAUUACUUCAGAAAUUAAGUUUCAAAGGGAGUCUUAAAACCAAGUAAUGUUAAACUCUCCAACUUGUUUUGACUACAUUGGAGGAGAUUUUGAACUUCUACCCAUAUUUUAGAAUCAGCUAUUUUAUUUCAUAAAACUAUGUAGACCAGGAGACGUUUAGAUUGGGACUGUUUAUGGGCCUUUAUAGAUUCAUGUGAAAAAGCUACAGGCUCCCCAGUUAUGGGUCUUACAGUGCAUGAGCAAAGUAUGUCUUUCAUUACAUAGGUACCCAUUCCUCUUAGCAAUUUCACACUUUCACUGUACAAGUCACAUGACCAGGGCAACUCUUAUAAAGGACAACAUUUAAUUGGAGCUGGUUUACAGGUUCAGAGGUUCAGUCCAGUAUCAUUAAGGCAGGAGCAUGGCAGCAUCCAAGCAGGCAUGGCACUGGAAGAGCUGAGAGUUCUACAUCUUCAGCCAAAGGAGGUCAAGAGCAGACUGUCCUCAGGCAGCUAGGAGGAUGGUCUUGAAGCCCACUCCCACAAUGGCACACCUCCUUCAACAAGGCCACACCUCCUAAUAGUGCCACUCCCUGGGCCAAACAUAUUCAAAUCACCACACUGAAGAAUUUCAUAUUUCUUGAAGAAUUAUCUAUUUUAUGUAUGUAAGUACACUGUCACUAUCUUCAGACACACCAGAAGAGGGCAUCAGAUUUCAUUACAGAUGGUUGUGAGCUACCAUGUGGUUGCUGGGAAUUGAACUUGACCUCUGAAAGAGCAGUGCUCUUAACCUCGAGCCAUCUCUCAAGCCCAGAAUUUCAUAUUUUUAUUGGUGCAAUUUUAGUGGUUUUGGUUUCUUGUGAGAAUUAGGAGCAUUUUAAAGGACUUGAUACAAUCCUCAGUAAAGGUUGUAACAAUCUCCAAACCCUACAGAAUGAACACUUUGGCCAUGUUUUCCCGUGGGCCUCAACCUAGCUGUUCCAACGUGUCUGAUAUAUCUAUUGGAACAGUCUCUUGCCAAACACUCUCAUGUACACUUAAAAUGUACACUGAUAGUAUUAAGCAAUUGGUUCCAUUGUUUAUUAUUUCUGCUAGACACUAUUUUUAAAAUACAUACUUACCUUAUUUAUAUGUGCAGAUCUGAGCACACCACACAUAUACAAUAUGUAUACCAGAUGUACACAUGUGUGCAGGAAUCUGAUCUGCAGAGUUAUAGGCAGUUGUGGGUUGACAUGUGGGUGCUAGGAACCAAACCGAGGUUUUCUGGAAGAGUCGUCUGUGCUAUUAACCACUGAACUAUUGCUCUAGUCCCACUAUUUCUAAAAGGCCAUAUACUGUGAAUAUACAUGGUCCUCUUUUGCUUCUACCAGAUGCAUGGUACUAUAUACACAUCCACUAUAUUAGAUCUGUAAAACUCCACAGUGGUGAACCCCAUGUUAGAGCUAAGCCUCUUCUGUCAACACUGUGAUACUUAUCAUUGUAUUUGUUUCUCUUUUUCCCUUUUUCCUUCUCCACCCCACCCCCACCCAACCCCCCACAAGACAGGGUUUCUCUGUGUAGCCCUGGCUAUUCUGAAACUCCCUCUGUAGACCAGGCUGACUUCUCAGAGAUCCAUUUGCCUCUGCCUCUGCCUCUGCCUCUGCCUCUGCCUCUGCCUCCUGAGUGCUGGGAUUAAAGGCACCACUACUGCCUGGCUGCAUUUGUUUCUUUACCAAUUCCAUCUAGGAGUAAUACAUGUAUCUAUUGAAUUAUAUUCUGCCAGGCUGUCCUCAGAAUGACUUUACCACUUUAUUCAUAAUCUCCAAGACUUUUCCCUCAUUUAUCUUUCUAAUUUUUUUUUUAGUCUACUGAAUAUUGUCAUUUUAAUUUGGGAUCCUCUGAUUUCUAGUGACUGUGAGUACUUUUUUUUUUUUUUUUUAAUGUUCUUAGCUCAUUAGACUUACUCUUCUAAAACCUUCCUGUCUAUAGUCUUGGACUAUUGUCCUAUGGGGACCUUUAUUUAGUUAUUGUUAUGGCCUUGACAUUCUGUCUCUUGUAAAUACUAGUUAGUUGCCAAAUUUAGAGGUAAAAUAUACUCCCACAUUGUUUCCUAUUACAAGAUAUUCAAUCUUUCCCCCCAGAAUUUGUUCCUGUUCCCACUGCUGUAAACAAACUGCCCCACACUGUGCAACUGGGCAGCCUCCAUUGGUCCCUCAGACUCCCACUGCAGCACAGGGCACUGGUGCUGAAGAGCUUAUUGUCUGUGGCUGUGAAGCUCCUUCCCCUCCCCACGUAAUGAUAUCCUCUGGGGUCUUUCCAGGGCAUCUUCACAGAACUUUGGAGUUCUCAGCAGUGAUUUCAGGGUGACAGUUCUUACACAGGGGUUAGCUUUCCAUCACAAGAAGCAGUUGUGAGUUAAGCAGAGAGACUCCAGUUUGUUUGUUUGUUUUGAAGGUUGGGGAAGUUGAACCUGGGCAUCAAGCAUGCUAAGUACAUGCUGAACCAAUGAGUACCACCAGCCUUUUUUUCUGAUCAAAUGUCAUGUUGCUGAAUGGCAGCUGAGGGGGGUGACAGUGUAGCUGCUAUCUUUAGAAGACACAAUCUGCCACAUUGUCAUUUAAAUUUUUUACUUUCACCAGCGGUCAAACCACAGCUAUCCCUUUCCAUACUUUCCUACUGAUUUAUGAAAACUAUUAUCUCGGGCUCAGGCCAAUAUAUAUAUAUAUAUAGUAGUUCAGGAAGGCCUGGAACACACUAUAUAGACCAGGUUACCAACCCACCUACCUAGGCCUUCCAAAUCCUGGAACAAUAGGUAUGAAUCACUACCCUGAUCCUCCAAGUGUGUUUUGGCAUAUUUUUAUUUUUGUGUGUAGGUGUUUUAUUUGCAAAUGUUUUGUGUGACAUACAUGUGGUACCCAAGGAGGUCAGAAGAGGGACUGGACAGUUGUUAGCUGCACAGAAGUGCUGGGAAUAGAACCUGGUCCCUCUGGAAGAGCAGCAGGCAAGCCAUCUCUCCAGCACCUCUCCAACUCUGUAGAACACAUUUUCAAAUAGAUUAGAGGAGUUAACACACGUUGAUUUACUUUUUAAAAUGUUAUGCUGGGAUAAAAAAAAAAAUCAUGUGCCUCAAAAAUUAGUAUGGAACCAGCAAGAUGCCUCAGCAGAUAAAAGCACUUGCUUCAUAAGCGUUGGCCGGAGUUCAAUCAACAAAACCCUUGUUAAAAAAAACAAUAGCUAACUGUGGCAUGGACCAGAAGUUCCCAGCAUUCCUAGGAGAUGGGAGGUGGAGACAAGAGAACCCCCAGGUCAGCUCUCCUACAGUACAAGGCACAGGGGAGACAGGGGAGCGCUUUCCUAUAUACCAGAAAGAGAACGGAUUCCCAGAAAUUGAUUUCCACAUGUGCACUGUGGCACACAUGUGCCUGAACUCAUACACCACACACAACAAAAGUUUAAAUUGGUAUGAAAUAAGAUUAAUAUGAGCUAUGUCAGAUUUUACCUAGGAGUAGGUCAUUACAUACAUACUUAAAAAAAACUCCAUUAUACGAUAUUAAACUAAAAAUUUAUCAGAAAAAAAAUGUAAAGAUGUAUCAUGUGUGUGUGUCCAGAGGCCGCAGUGCAGUGUCUGAUUCAUUGGACCUCCAGCUAUGCUGCUUGUGAACGGCCGGCCCAGUGUGAGUGCUGGGGCCAGACUCCUGUUCUAAAGACAAGUGAGUGUUUUGACCUCGGAGUCUUCUCUCCAGGCCCUGGAAAAUAAUUCUAGCAAAUGGCUCCGAAUAGUUUAAAAAUCACUGUAAUCAUUUAAACCUUUAGUUAAAUGGGCCCUUUUCCCUGAUACACUGCAUGUAUUCUGUACCUUUGGGCACUAAUGAAACAUAAAACCUGGCCACUCUUUUAACACAAUCUCAUUGAAAAAUAUAUGGCUUCCUCAUAAACAAAACCAAAACUCCCUGCAAACAAUGAAAAGUAUGGACUUAGGGGUUUCUUCUAAACUAUGAAAGCAGUUCACAAACACUGUUAGAUUAGCAAGCAUACAGAGCCACUUUAUCCUGUUGUGAAUUGAGGAUUUUAUUUUAUUGGGUACUGUGUACCCAAGUACAGGUGCCUAUAGAGGCUACAGGUGGCUCCGAGGGACGCAAUGUGGGUACCUGAAAUCCAGUCUUCUACAAAAGCAGUAUCUGCUCUUAAGCAGCUGUGGCUUCAGUCUCAUUCACUGAUUUAAAUUUAACUUUAAAAACUUUUAUUGAUACGUGUGCGUGCGCGUGUGUGUGUGCACGUGUGUGUGUGCGCGCAUGCGUGUGUGUGUGUGCGUGUGCGUCCACACACUUAUGUGGAAGUCAGGGGAGAAACUGUGAGUCAGCUCUCUCCUUUCACCACGUGGUUGCAGAAACUGAGAUCAGAUCAUCAGGCUGAUAGCCAGUGCCCUUAUCUACACUGAGCCAUCUCGAUGACUAAAGUCACGAUUUCUUACAUCAUCCUACUACAUUGCCACAAUCUACUUAUUUCAUGAGUGUGAGGCAAGAAGUCCUUUCAAAUUCUUUGUAUUAGUGUGUGGCAUAGGUGUAUGUCCCAGUAUGGGGGUAGCACACCUGUCCACAUGUAAGUCCAUGUGUGCAGAGCCAGGGUGGGAUCUUUCAAGUAACCCUUAGUUCACUAUUUCAGAUAAACUGGUUGUAAGUGGGCCCUGGGAUCCACCUGUGACUGACUUUCUAUGUGGAUGUUAGAAAUCUGGGUUCAGGCCUCUCUGUUUGUGCAUCAAGCCCUUUACCUCAUAAGCCCACCCCCUAGGUCUUUAGACUUCCUUUGAAAAAAGGCAAGCUGUACAUCUGUCUUCACAGUGUAACGUCUACAUUGCAGAAAAGGAAACCACAGUUUUCUAUCCUGAAUUUUCUUUCUUUUCUUUUUAUAGACCAAACUCUGGUAAGACUUAGCAAAGUCACUGACUCAUGUUUUUUUUUCCUAGAAUAAAACACUUAAAGCCUUUUAAGUAUAAAAAUAUAAGAGGACAAGAAUUCCUCAUUAAUGUCGUCAUGUUCCUAUGACGAAUGUUUUUUUAAGCAAUCAAAGCACAUGAUUUUGGGGAAACAGUGAUUUAAUAAAAUCAUAAUAAAUAUAUCAUUUAAAUGUCAUCUAAAUGUUGUUCUUUUGUGACAAUGAUACACUCUAUAACCCAGGUUGACCCCAAAUUUGUGGCAAACCUCCUACCUCGGCCUCUAGAGCUGGGAUCACAAGUGUGGAACAUCACACCCAGUCAUCAUUUAAGUUCUGGGACCAUAAAACUGUACUGAGGUAGAAAGAUGAAUGGAAAAGUCAGCGAGGCAGAAACAAACAAAAAUGAUCGUUUAUGGUCUUUGACACUGUAGGACAUAAAACCUUUAAGAGGUAAUACAAACGCAUGCCUCCUCACUUUCUUACCUAUGGGGAUGAAUCAGUAUUUUUUAUCUACACUGUAUUUUGAAAGUAACUUGUUUGGCUCUAUCCUGCCCAUUAAAAUUAUGUAACACUCUGCCUUGAAAAAGUAAGGCCUUAGCUGGAAAUGGAGGUGCAUGCCUUUAAUCCCAGCACUGGCAGGCAGAGGCAGGGAGAUCUCUGAAUUUACGGCCAGCCUGGUCUACAAGGCGAGUUCUGACAGCCAGGGAUACAUAGAGAAAUCCUUUCUCGAAAAACCAAUGAUGCUGCUGCUGUUGAUGACAAUGAUGGGGAUGCUGCUCAGCAGACCAAACUUAUUAAUUCUGUUCUGGAAAUGCAUACUGGAGAACCAACAAAUGAAGUACAUUAGAGAAAGCUUGAAAAAAAUUAUCUUCAGGCCCGACCAAACUUUUGACGUUAAUGUGAUUCAGUGCUCUAUCAUCUACAAAGUUCACACUCAAGGACUGCACCAUUGCGUUAUCAAAAACAAAACAAAACAAAACAAACAAACAAACAAAAAAACCCAAAACCCUCAGACGUGGAGGGGGGGGGGUUGACAACACUCUCCAUUUUCAGAGUACUGCAAUCUGGGGCCAGCAAAGUAGCUCACUGGGUAAAGUGCUUGUACAAGCUUCGUGACCUGAGCACAAUCCAUGGAAGCCACAUAAAGGGAGAGAACUGACUCCACAAAACCAUCUCUGACUUGCACGUUCUGCAACAUGGCACAUGUAAGCCCACCACCAUAUAUACACACAGAGAUACACACACAGACAUAUACACACAAACACAGAGACACACACACACCUAGACACACUGAGACACACAUACAAACAUACACACCUACACACAGAGACACAGACACACAUACACACAAAUUUAUAAGAGUACUGAGAUUUUAAGCCAAAUAUGUUAAACUUAAGGAAUCCAUAUGUAGCUAUACAAAUGGCAAUAACCAAUUAUUUUUCAAAUAAUAUAAAUGAAAACUAAAGGUCAGGUUCUAAAUGGGUGUUGAAUGAUCUUGUUGUGCAGUUUUGACACUCAUAGUCAUAGAUGGGCUGAGUAGAUAGUUCAGAGCUUGCUAUGCAGGUUGAGGGCCACAGAAUCUACAAGGUGACCUGCCUGUAAAUCCAGUGCUCUGGAGAGACACGGAGGAUUUGAGGGAAGUUGGUUAGCUAGACUAUCCAAAUCAGGGAGUUCUGGGGUUCAUAUUAGGGAUUCUACCUUGGUAUAUAAGGUAGAGGAAGACAUCUUACAUCAACUUCUGGCCUCCGUACACAUGUAAACCCACACAUUUGAAUAUGUGUACACACAUAUGCACAUAAAAAUGUUCACUGAUCCACAUACACGAAUAAACUACUUAUUCUCAGAAACUAAACCAUUGCAUAGAGGAAAACAAGACAUUAGAAAGGCUUGACUCCAGGCCCCUUCCUACUGCCCAUUCAUCUUGGUUAUAGUGAUAAAUGGAAAAACUAAGUAUUUGUCAUCUUCAAAAGUUUGAGUUUGUUUGUUUGUUGUUUUGUUUUUCGAGACAGGAUUUCUCUGUAUAGCUCUGGCUGUUCUGAAACUCUAUAGACCAGGCUGGUCUUGAACUCAGAAAUCCGCCUGCCUCUGCCUCCCAAGUGCUGGGAUUAAAGGCGUGCCCCACCACUGCCCAGCAAGGUUUUACUUUUUAAAAAUCAUAAAAAUGUACAUGUGUGCAUGUACACAUGUCAGUGUCACAUGAGGACAGGUUCCUGGAGUGGCCAGAAACAUCAGAUCCCUGGAGCUGGAGUUACAAGCUGUCCACUGGUCAUGCUCAGAACCAAACUCAAGUACUCGUGUUUUCUGGGAGAGCAGCCAGUGUUCCUAGCUGCUAAGCUAUUUCUUCAGAUCCUGGAUUUCUUUUUUGAAAAAACAGUAGACUUUUCUAAAGCUUAUAUUUAUAAGAUAUUGGUUAGGAAAAUUACCCUUUGAGGGCGCUGAUAGUUCAUUGGGUGAAGAUGUUUGCUACCAAUUCUGAUAACCUGAGUUUGAACCCUGGGACCCAUAUGAUGGAAGGAGAGAACUAACAUCCACAGGUCGUCCUAACUCUGCUCUAAACGAACACCCACCCCCACCUCACCUCCACACACAGGUAAAAACGUAACUAAAUAUAUUAAUCUUUGGUGUUAUUUCACACUAAAAGAAAUUUUGGUGAAGCCAUGUGAAACUUUUAAUUCCAAGCAAGUGUGUACAGCCUUAAGAACUUUAAACAGAAAAUAUAAGUAGGUCUUACAAUAUUUUCUUUUCUGAAGCCAUUAAUCCUGCUACUAGUGAAUAACACAGAAAACAUUUCCCAGCAGUUCCAAAACUGGAAUGCACACCGUGGAAAGUACCUAACAGAGGCCCUGGGGACGAAAUGCCAGGAUUCUGGGGUAUAAAAACCUCACUGCUUCACAGGGAAAUGUUAUCUACUUACGUAAGUAUCCAGACACAAAGAUUAAAUUCAUCCCCAGCUUUACUGAAGUCAGGACCUUGCCCUUCCCAAAGCACCUUCGGAAGGCUUCCUAAUGCAUUCUUUAGCAAGCUGCAGGUAACUGCAACUUCUUUCAAAGCAAAUUAACACUGUGCUUGUGAUAGUUUGGAAUGCCCCGGCAAACCCAGCUACUCUUGACAUUCUGCCUUCCCAGAUACGACAUCAGUUUGCCAGCAUUAGUGCAUUCAGGCAGUAUUGAUUAUUUUAAAAUGACAUUUCUCAAUCUUCACUCGACGGGCAAGUGAGUUAAGUAACAGAGGAGGACAAAGGGGAGGAAGCUGACUAGCAAUCCAACAAGCACUGAGUCUAUGGAUAGGAGACUGAAGUCACUUGAAACAGAAUUGCACAUACAAUUCUAGCCGGAUCUUUCUAUUACAUUUAAGCGGUCAGGAGGAAAGCAACUGUAAAGAUGAAAAAAUUAGAGAAACCCUCCUCACCACACACAUCAAAGCAUUCUUAAACAAUAUACAAAAACAAAGCAACAGUUUUACAUGUAAGAAAAUACCAAUCACAAUGCAACCUUUUAACCCUUUCCCUGUAAGUCUUGUCACAUGAUUCCCUUUAAAACUAAAAAUUGGUAUUGGGGUCCCAAAACCUUAUUGCAAAAGCAAUCAUACCUCAGGGUGGAUAACUCCAGAUUAUGGAAAUAGACAGAAUGUACCUAAGAGUACACACUGGCAGUAACACAGAGACCUAAUUCUGUAUGGACAGGUAAGACAGGUGCUGACAUGCUCAGCAACUAUAUUAUCUUAAUACCCUGAGAUUCACAGUAAUCCAUUCUGCCUCAGGUGUUCCCAAGAGCCAGUAUCAAAGAUCCUUAACUUGCAGAGGAACACUGUGAGCCAAAUGUAACAUGGGUAACAACAAACCUGGGUUCCCCCAAAAGAAUCUAAAUAACUUCUCAGCACCAGGAAAGUCAAAGAGCUUUGCUCCCUAAAGAUAAAGGUACUUGUGAUCCUGCCACCAGCUUUCACUUCAGCUUUGUCCAUAUACCUACCCACAAACAACUCAAAACCCACUCCCGGAGACACUUGUACAGGUUUAAGAACAAACCACGCUAACAGGAGACAGCCACAAGCUGGACAAACAAAAUUUGCAAACAAGGUCAAAGUUCAGUACAAGCAAAAGACAAUCAAAUACGUGUCCGCACCCAUGCCGAGAACUCAUGCAAGUUCUUACACCCCAAAGCAGACAGGCAACACCCACAUAAACACGCUUGCUAAAAUUUUGGCUCUCUCCUAAGCCCCACUACCCCCAGAAUAAAAGGCCCAGCAACACUCGGGUCCUGCGCAACCACGAUUCCAGAGUGUGUAAGACAAGAGGACGGAGCAGAACACAAACCAUAAGAGCAGAGAGCACACUCCAGACACCCAGGCACAGGCCAUACUGACAGACAGGUCAAAGGCAGAAGGGCAGACCACCAGGAUGUGGCCGCCUGCGACCCCACAAGCAGUCACAGGCCUCCUGGCUCAUGGAAACACUGCAAGUCCAGCAUGGACCCUCUCAGGCCUCUUGUCCACGCCCGGGACAAGAAUGCCAGGGUCUCUGCCACCCCAAGGGUCUGCUGGUAGCCUUCUAACAGAUCAGACAGUCCCCCAAGACCCUCAGAAAGCAGAAAACUUCUUAUCGCCCUUUCGGAGGCGGCCAUGACAGCAAAAAAAGAGCGGAUUUUUUACGACAACUCCCACAAUGCACGCGGACUACAACUCCCAGAGUGCAGCGGGCGGCCCCGCUGUUAACCCUGUUAUGGCUAUAGGGCUGACAAGCCCUGUACCCUUUCUCGCCCUGAAACCAAACUGUUGCACCUACUUUCAACCAUCACAAUCAGAAACUAACUUCGGAAUUUUUAACAAACAACUACAGUUACGCUAUCUGGACUCU